rnacentral:tRNA from 1 species
CAACUUAUAGUAUAAUUUUAUUACAUCUCUUUUACACUGAGAAAAUAGAGUAUCUUUUGUUGU